GACGAACGCUGGCGGCGUGCCUAAUACAUGCAAGUCGAACGAGUUGCGAACGGGUGAGUAACGCGUGGUAACCUGCCUCAUAGCGGGGGAUAACUAUUUGAAACGGUAGCUAAUACCGCAUACCAUCGGAUGUGCCCAGCUGGGCUUAGCUGGUGGGUUGGGUAACGGCUCACCUAGGCGACGAUCCCUAGCUGGUCUGAGAGGAUGACCCGCCACCCGGGAAUCUAGCAACGGGCUAGACUCCUACGGGAGGCAGGCGUGGGGAACAUGGCACAAUGGGGGCAAGCCUGGUGCCGUCACGUCGCGUGUAUGAAGAAGGCCUUCGGGUUGUAAAGUCCUUUCAGCGACGAGGCGUUACCCUCAGCAGAAGCCCCGGCUAACUCCGUGCCAGCAGCCGCGGUAAUAC
rnacentral:rRNA from 1 species